GGCCAGCGUGGCCUAGCUGUUGAGUGUUGGACUAUGAGUCUAGGGAACAGGGUUCGAAUCCCUGCUUGGCCA